rnacentral:rRNA from 1 species
UAGCACAGAGAGCUUGCUCUCGGGUGACGAGCGGCGGACGGGUGAGUAAUGUCUGGGAAACUGCCUGAUGGAGGGGGAUAACUACUGGAAACGGUAGCUAAUACCGCAUAAUGUCGCAAGACCAAAGUGGGGGACCUUCGGGCCUCAUGCCAUCAGAUGUGCCCAGAUGGGAUUAGCUAGUAGGUGGGGUAACGGCUCACCUAGGCGACGAUCCCUAGCUGGUCUGAGAGGAUGACCAGCCACACUGGAACUGAGACACGGUCCAGACUCCUACGGGAGGCAGCAGUGGGGAAUAUUGCACAAUGGGCGCAAGCCUGAUGCAGCCAUGCCGCGUGUGUGAAGAAGGCCUUCGGGUUGUAAAGCACUUUCAGCGGGGAGGAAGGCGGUGAGGUUAAUAACCUUGUCGAUUGACGUUACCCGCAGAAGAAGCACCGGCUAACUCCGUGCCAGCAGCCGCGGUAAUACGGAGGGUGCAAGCGUUAAUCGGAAUUACUGGGCGUAAAGCGCACGCAGGCGGUCUGUCAAGUCGGAUGUGAAAUCCCCGGGCUCAACCUGGGAACUGCAUUCGAAACUGGCAGGCUAGAGUCUUGUAGAGGGGGGUAGAAUUCCAGGUGUAGCGGUGAAAUGCGUAGAGAUCUGGAGGAAUACCGGUGGC